rnacentral:rRNA from 1 species
GGGGAAUAUUGGGCAAUGGGCGAAAGCCUGACCCGGCGACGCCGCGUGGGUGAUGAAGGCCUUCGGGUUGUAAAGCCCUUUCGUGCGGAACGAACAGUCUCGCGACUAAUACUCGCGGGAUUUGACGGUACCGCAGGAAGAAGCACCGGCUAACUCCGUGCCAGCAGCCGCGGUAAUACGGAGGGUGCAAGCGUUGUUCGGAAUUACUGGGCGUAAAGGGCGCGCAGGCGGUUGUGCAAGUCAGUUGUGAAAUCCCCCGGCUUAACCGGGGAACUGCAUCUGAAACUGCAUGACUCGAGUACAGAAGAGGGAAACGGAAUUCCCGGUGUAGAGGUGAAAUUCGUAGAUAUCGGGAGGAACACCAGUGGCGAAGGCGGUUUCCUGGUCUGAUACUGACGCUGAGGCGCGAAAGCGUGGGGAGCAAACAG